GUGCCAGCAGCCGCGGUAAUACGUAGGGGGCAAGCGUUGUCCGGAGUUACUGGGCGUAAAGCGCACGCAGGCGGUGAGCCAAGUGUGGGGUGACAGGUGGCGGCUUAACUGCCACAGCGCCUUGCAAACUGGCUGACUUGAGGGCCGAAAAGGGACAUGGAACUCCAGGUGUAGUGGUGAAAUGCGUAGAUAUCUGGAAGAACACCAAAGGCGAAGGCAGUGUCCUGGUCGGCUCCUGACGCUCAGGUGCGAAAGCCAGGGGAGCGAACGGGAUUAGAUACCCCGGUAGUCCUGGCCGUAAACGAUGACCACUAGAUGUGCGGGGUAUCGACCCCCGGCGUGUCGGAGUUAACGCGUUAAGUGGUCCGCCUGGGGAGUACGGUCGCAAGAUUAAA
rnacentral:rRNA from 1 species